rnacentral:lncRNA from 1 species
CAAGUGGACAGACUUGUUUGGCCAAUGCCCCUAGUUCUCACUUUUCUUUCUCCAAAGAAAAAAAUCAGAAAAGCAAAACCAGAGCAAACCAAACAUAGGUUAGAGCUAAUGAGAAGUACAGGAUGUCUGGUUUCAACUUUUAAAAGAUGACCACUAAAUUAGAUUGUAACUUCAGAGAGGAAGGAAAAUUAAGACUAUCGAUGAAUUCUUUGUCUUUAGCAGUGCCAAGAAAGCAGAGAAAAAAAGAAUCCGCAGAAGAGAAGAGACCUAGAGAAGUUGCUUAGUCCUCCCCCGCGGGAGGGCUGUACCUCAAAAAUGCCAUAUUGGAGGGACGUCCAGUUCUCCUAGGUUUCCAGGGAAACUCUGUCCAAGUUGUGGAUAUGUCAUUGGUUUGUUACCCUCUUUAUUCACUGGUCUUCUCUGUCUCAUACCACAAUGGCAAACCCAGAGAGAUGGACCGACCUAGUUGGCCUGGUGAUCAGGUUGCUACUAAUGAAGAUCUGCCUGCCAAACCUGCCUUCCUCGAAAUAUCCCUUCAUGUGAAAGCAUUAUGAGAAAGGGUAAAUCUAAUUGUAUACUAUAAUAGUGGCAGUAGGUGAGUUUACGUCACACACGCUAGGAAACUGCUUUAAUCUUUCGACAUCUCUCUCUUUCCAAAUCAUGCACGCAUUCAUUCCAUCAUCAAACAUUUAUUGAAAAUCUACACACCAGACACUGUUCUAGGCCCUGGGGAUAAGAAGUAAUGAAAACAACUGUCCCCUAGGAGUCUGCACUCUAGUUGAGGGAGGUGCUGGCUAGCCUCUGUUUACCCUCCAGGUCCAUCUUUGCCCUUUUCUGUGCCCCAGGAGGCUAGCCCCGCACUCUACUGUGCCUUGUCCUCUGGGAGGGUGAUGGAAGGUAGGGAGAGUGGGAGAUCCCAGCGGGAGGUUGUAGUAUGGAAGCACUGGAGAGCUAGGCAUUUUCUCCCCGCCAACUCCUUCCAGGCUGCAGUUUUGGCAGUGGUUGUGUUCCUGCCCUCUAGCCACAGAUCCUGGGGGAUCCCCCUCUCCCAUAGCCACAGAUCUUGGCAGGUUCCUCUGACACCUCUCUUACCUCCCCACCCUUCUUGACCCUUUUUACUUAAUGAGAGGCAACCCAUGGCUGCUCAAUGCUGUCGGUUCUAUGUUGACUUAACUGUUCUUACCUCUUCUGUUACCCUUUGAGAAUGUCACUUCUUUUCUGCCAGGACCUUGACUGAUACAGAAAUACAGAAAAUAAACAAACAAAUGAGUUAUA